rnacentral:tRNA from 1 species
ACUUGAAUAGCUUAUAUGUAGAGCACGACACUGAAGAUGUCGAUGAGGUGAUUUAUUUACCUUUAAGUA